CGACUGGCCCCUAGAUGGAAUGACNGUGUCGGCACGUGAGCGGUGAUGGAUNCCCAUGCCNCGGCGGGNUCCCUGCCACUGUGCAGCCAACCGCCGUCGCUGCAGCCCCUUCACUCGUGCUCCAACCACUCGGAGCCUCCCGCGUUGCCUGUACAACAUACCCGGUUCUCGGGCAAAUGACUUCGUCCAACACGCUCGUCCNCUCCCCUCGCCUUUGUGCGGGCGCGGAGCGGCAACGUCGGCGGUCCUCGUGCUCCCUCGGACGACGGNACGGCUUCGGCCCCUCGUCUCGUCCCGAUCGGCCCUCGNGGAUUCGCCAGCGCUCGCGGACACGGUAGACAAUGUUGGCUCGGGGCCUUCGUAGCCCUCGCNCCACGAUCGGUCGGCUCACUUCGCCGCCCUCGAC
rnacentral:misc_RNA from 1 species